rnacentral:rRNA from 1 species
UACGAAGGGGGCUAGCGUUGCUCGGAAUUACUGGGCGUAAAGAGCUCGUAGGCGGUCUGUCGCGUCGGCUGUGAAAUCCCGGAGCUCAACUCCGGGUCUGCAGUCGAUACGGGCAGACUGGAGUUCGGCAGGGGAGACUGGAAUUCCUGGUGUAGCGGUGAAAUGCGCAGAUAUCAGGAGGAACACCGGUGGCGAAGGCGGGUCUCUGGGCCGAUACUGACGCUGAGGAGCGAAAGCGUGGGGGAGCGAACAGG